GCUUGUGUGGCUCAGUGGUAGAGCAUCUGCCUUUUGCUCAGGGCUAAGUGAUCUCAGGGUCCUGGGAUCAAGUCCCUCAUGGGCU
rnacentral:tRNA from 1 species